ACGGUCUUGCUGUCACUUAUAGAUGGAUCCGCGCUGCAUUAGCUAGUUGGUAAGGUAACGGCUUACCAAGGCAACGAUGCAUAGCCGACCUGAGAGGGUGAUCGGCCACACUGGAACUGAGACACGGUCCAGACUCCUACGGGAGGCAGCAGUAGGGAAUCUUCCGCAAUGGGCGAAAGCCUGACGGAGCAACGCCGCGUGAGUGAUGAAGGUCUUCGGAUCGUAAAACUCUGUUAUUAGGGAAGAACAUAUGUGUAAGUAACUGUGCACAUCUUGACGGUACCUAAUCAGAAAGCCACGGCUAACUACGUGCCAGCAGCCGCGGUAAUACGUAGGUGGCAAGCGUUAUCCGGAAUUAUUGGGCGUAAAGCGCGCGUAGGCGGUUUUUUAAGUCUGAUGUGAA
rnacentral:rRNA from 1 species